rnacentral:rRNA from 1 species
GAUGAACGCUGGCGGCGUGCCUAAUACAUGCAAGUCGAGCGAACAGACGAGGAGCUUGCUCCUCUGACGUUAGCGGCGGACGGGUGAGUAACACGUGGAUAACCUACCUAUAAGACUGGGAUAACUUCGGGAAACCGGAGCUAAUACCGGAUAAUAUAUUGAACCGCAUGGUUCAAUAGUGAAAGACGGUUUUGCUGUCACUUAUAGAUGGAUCCGCGCCGCAUUAGCUAGUUGGUAAGGUAACGGCUUACCAAGGCGACGAUGCGUAGCCGACCUGAGAGGGUGAUCGGCCCCACUGGAGCUGAGCCACGGUCCAGGCUCCUACGGGAGGCAGCAGUAGGGAAUCUUCCGCAAUGGGCGAAAGCCUGACGGAGCAACGCCGCGUGAGUGAUGAAGGUCUUCGGAUCGUAAAACUCUGUUAUUAGGGAAGAACAAAUGUGUAAGUAACUAUGCACGUCUUGCCGGUACCUAAGCAGAAAGCCCCGGCUAACUACGU